UUUUUUAUGGGGAGGAGGGGGCACUGACUUAAUUUUAAAAGUCUAUAGACAUUUAGCAGUUGAAGUAAACAAAGGAUGUACCAUAUGAUCUUUCCCAUUGUUGAUGGUGUCUCUAAUUCCUUUCUCUUUGGGCUGCUCCGAAUUCAG